rnacentral:lncRNA from 1 species
CCAGCUGUGUGGAACUAAAUUAUAUGUUCAUUCCAAGGAGUUAAGUCUCAACUGACCAUGGAAAGAAUAUGGCAGAUAUAACAGCACGUAAUUUCCAAGGCAAGGUCAUAAAAGACAUUGUAGCUUCUGCCUUGUCCCUUCCUCUUGGAUCUCUUGCUAUGGAGUAGCAGCCCCAUGAAGACACCCGUGGUGGAAGAUCACUGAGGACUCCUGCCAACAGCCACCCAGUGACUGAGGCCUCUUGCAGAAAUCCAUAUGAGUGGGCCAGCUGACAAGAAAAUCUUCCAGCUCUAGUCAAGCCUUCAGAACACCAGCUCUUAGUGCCAGGAACUGCCAGGUAAGAAUUCUGACUACACUGAGGCCACCAUGCUCUGAGGAAGUCAAGCCAGAUGGAAAGAUCACAGCAGGAGAACUGGUCAGCAGUCAUACUCUUGAACUCAUCCCAACCCAGACUCCAGACAUGUGAAUUGACAAGUCUUCAGAUGAUUCCAGCACAAAGCCAUUGAGUCACCUCCAGCCAUUGAGUGUCCCCAGCCGAGACACCAGUCACCAUCAAGCAGAGCCAGUAUGCCUGUUAUGCCUGUCCAAAUUCUUGACCCACUAAAUUCUAUGAAAUUAAUAAAUGGUUGUUUAAGUUACUAAAUUUUAAACUUAAUUUGUUAUGCAGUAAUAGGAAUUGUUCCUGUCUGUGAGCAAGUCCUCAUGGACAAUAAACUCAGAUCUGUCUGUGGAAUCUGGGAGAAAAAGAGACUGUUAUCCUUCCCCAUGGUACAGCCCCAGAAAGAUAAAAGUCUCAGAA